GGAGACCUACGGGAGGCAGCAGUGGGGAAUAUUGCACAAUGGGGGGAACCCUGAUGCAGCGACGCCGCGUGAGUGAAGAAGUCAUUCGUGAUGUAAAGCUCUAUCAGCAGGGAAGAAAAUGACGGUACCUGACUAAGAAGCCCCGGCUAACUACGUGCCAGCAGCCGCGGUAAUACGUAGGGGGCAAGCGUUAUCCGGAUUUACUGGGUGUAAAGGGAGCGUAGACGGCAGCGUAAGUCCGAAGUGAAAGCCCGGG
rnacentral:rRNA from 1 species